GUCCACGCCGUAAACGAUGGUCACUAGGUGUGUGCGGUAUCGACCCCGCACGUGCCGCAGCUAACGCAAUAAGUGACCCGCCUGGGGAGUACGGCCGCAAGGUUGAAACUCAAAGGAAUUGACGGGGGCCCGCACAAGCGGUGGAGCAUGUGGAUUAAUACGUCACUAACCGUAGAACCUUACCCAGGCUUGACAUCCCCGGAACCCCUCUGAAAGGAGGGGGUGCUCGCAAGAGAGCCGGGAGACAGGUGUUGCAUGGCUGUCGU
rnacentral:rRNA from 1 species